GACGAACGCUGGCGGCGUGCUUAACACAUGCAAGUCGAACGGAAAGGCCCCUUUGGGGGUCCGCGAGUGGCGAACGGGUGAGUAACACGUGAGUAAGCUGCCCUUGACUUCGGGAUAACUUCAGGAAACUGGGGCUAAUACUGGAUAGGAAUCCUUGCUGCAUGGUGGGGGUUGGAAAGCUUCGGCGGUUUUGGAUGGACUCGCGGCGUAUCAGCUUGUUGGUGGGGUAGUGGCUUACCAAGGCUUUGACGGGUAGCCGGCCUGAGAGGGCGACCGGCCACAUUGGGACUUAGGAACGGCCCAGACUCCUACGGGAGGCAGCCGUGGGGAAUAUUGCACAAUGGGCGGAAGCCUGAUGCAGCAACGCCCCGGGCGGGAUGACGGCCUUCGGGUUGAAAACCGCUUUCAGCAGGGGCGAAGCUUGUGGUGACGGUACCUGCAGAAGAAGCACCGGCUAACUACGUG
rnacentral:rRNA from 1 species